UUGUCUCAAAGAUUAAGCCAUGCAUGUCUCAGUACAAGCCGCAUUAAGGUGAAACCGCGAAAGGCUCAUUAAAUCAGUUAUGGUUCCUUAGAUCGUACCCACAUUUACUUGGAUAACUGUGGUAAUUCUAGAGCUAAUACAUGCAAACAGAGUUCCGACCGGAGACGGGAGGAAUGCUUUUAUUAGAUCAAAACCAAUCGGCGGCGGGCGCGUUCGCGCGUCCGUUCGCCGCUCAACUUGGUGACUCUGAAUAACUUUCGGCUGAUCGCACGGUCCAGCACCGGCGACGCAUCUUUCAAAUGUCUGCCUUAUCAACUGUCGAUGGUAGGUUCUGCGCCUACCAUGGUCGUAACGGGUAACGGGGAAUCAGGGUUCGAUUCCGGAGAGGGAGCCUGAGAAACGGCUACCACAUCCAAGGAAGGCAGCAGGCGCGCAAAUUACCCACUCCCGGCACGGGGAGGUAGUGACGAAAAAUAACGAUACGGGACUCAUCCGAGGCCCCGUAAUCGGAAUGAGUACACUUUAAAUCCUUUAACGAGGAUCAAUUGGAGGGCAAGUCUGGUGCCAGCAGCCGCGGUAAUUCCAGCUCCAAUAGCGUA
rnacentral:rRNA from 1 species